rnacentral:rRNA from 1 species
UACGAAGGGGGCUAGCGUUGUUCGGAAUUACUGGGCGUAAAGCGCGCGCAGGCGGUCUUCCAAGUCAGUGGUGAAAGCCCGGAGCUCAACUCCGGAACUGCCAUUGAAACUGUUAGACUUGAGGACGAGAGAGGUGAGUGGAAUUCCCAGUGUAGAGGUGAAAUUCGUAGAUAUUGGGAAGAACACCGGUGGCGAAGGCGGCUCACUGGCUCGUUUCUGACGCUCAGGCGCGACAGCGUGG